rnacentral:rRNA from 1 species
CCACAAUGGGGAAACCCUGAUGGAGCGACGCCGCGUGCGGGAUGAAGGCCCUAUGGGUUGUAAACCGCUGUUCAGUGGAAAGAACAUCCUCCGGCUGAAUAGGUCGGAGGCCUGACGUUACCACUGCAGAAAGUCCCGGCCAACUCCGUGCCAGCAGCCGCGGUAAUACGGGGGGGACAGCGUUGUCCGGAAUCAUUGGGCGUAAAGGGCGCGUAGGCGGCGAGGAAAGUCGAAUGUGAAAUCUUGCGGCUCAACUGCAAAACUGCGUUCGAAAACUUCCUCGCUUGAGUAUGAGAGAGGUGUGCGGAAUUCCUGGUGUAGCGGUGGAAUGCGUAGAUAUCAGGAGGAACACCGGUGGCG